GACGAGGGAUCCUAGCGUUGUUCGGAAUCACUGGGCGUAAAGCGUUUGUAGGCGGCUCUAUAAGUCGGGUGUGAAAUCCCACGGCUCAACCGUGGAAGUGCAUUCGAAACUGCAGAGCUUGAAUAUGGUAGAGGAGAGUAGAAUUCCUGGUGUAGUGGUGAAAUACGUAGAUAUCAGGAGGAACACCGGUGGCGAAGGCGGCUACCUGGCCUAAUACUGACACUGAGGCACGAAAGCGUGGGGAGCAAACAGG
rnacentral:rRNA from 1 species